rnacentral:rRNA from 1 species
AGUGAACGCUGGCGGUAGGCCUAACACAUGCAAGCCGAACGGCAGCACAGUAAGAGCUUGCUCUUACGGGUGGCGAGUGGCGGACGGGUGAGGAAUACAUCGGAAUCUACUUUUUCGUGGGGGAUAACGUAGGGAAACUUACGCUAAUACCGCAUACGACCUACGGGUGAAAGCAGGGGAUCUUCGGACCUUGCGCGAUUGAAUGAGCCGAUGUCGGAUUAGCUAGUUAGCGGGGUAAAGGCCCACCAAGGCGACGAUCCGUAGCUGGUCUGAGAGGAUGAUCAGCCACACUGGAACUGAGACACGGUCCAGACUCCUACGGGAGGCAGCAGUGGGGAAUAUUGGACAAUGGGCGCAAGCCUGAUCCAGCCAUACCGCGUGGGUGAAGAAGGCCUUCGGGUUGUAAAGCCCUUUUGUUGGGAAAGAAAAGCAGCAGGUUAAUACCCCGCUGUUCUGACGGUACCCAAAGAAUAAGCACCGGCUAACUUCGUG